GCCCCCCACCCCCACCUUCUGGGUUUCUGGUGGUUUCUUUUUAAAAUCAGGAUUUAGGCAGCUCCACGUGCGGAGUAGGGGCGGGGCAGCCACACCUUCUCACCCACACAGUGGUGGUACUUCAGCAGGGGGCUGGUGCAGAUGAAGACCUGCGUGCUGCGGAGAAGGACGCGGUUACCGCCGGGAGCCAGGAGCCCGCCCAGGACUCCGCCCGCCCCCCUCUCUCCUUACUCCGACACGGGGGCACAUGCUGGUGCCCAAGCUGCAUCUGUGGCUGUUGAUGCUGGGCCCAUCCCUUUGAACAGUGAGCACAGAUAACAAGAGUACCUGCUGACUUGGCCCAAGAAGCUUGAUUUUCUUCAGGUGUCCCAAAGAUAUUAGAGGCCAUUUUGUUCUUCCUCACAGGUUGUUCUGUUGGUUCAUCAAAACCUAAUGAAAAAUUGGAUCCACCACCUGGAGGCCGCAAAACUCUGCAAAUAAUGGCAAAACAUCAACUUCAGAUCAUACUGAAACAUUUCUUGGCAUAAAUCUUUUCAGACAACUUUCAUUUCACUUUCCUCACCCAUUCAUCUCCCUCACCCCUACAACAGAUAGCUGCUAACAGGAAAAAAGAAUCAACUCCAUCAGUGUCUACAUUCAGUGCUGGAUGUUAAGAUACUAAAUACUGCUUUAUAAUACUUGUAAUAAGGUCAUCGAUCACACAAGGCAGCUGAAACAGCAUGGAACUCAUCAUAAAUAACAGCCUGGUUGGUGUCCCCUUUUCAGAAAUGGCAAAAGAUCUAAUGGACCUUACUCUACUGGGCUUGGCUGAAUAUACUUUCAAAGAAGUUUAGAAGUAUUUCUUGUUAUUAUUCAUUUAAAAAUCAUUUCCAGGCACAGUGGCACACACCUGUAAUCCCAGCACCCUAGGAGGCCAAGGCAGGAUCAUCACUUGAGCCUAGGAGUUCAAGACCAGCCUGGGCAACAUGGCAAGACCCCGUGUCUCUAUAAAAAAAAAA
rnacentral:lncRNA from 1 species